rfam:Triticum aestivum genome assembly, contig: Triticum_aestivum_CS42_TGACv1_scaffold_200672_3AL
AUUCUACUCCCUCCGUUGCACAAUACUACAUGCCUUCUAUUUGUCAAAAUAUAUAUGUAUCUAGACAUGUCUUAGUAUAUAGGUACAUCCAUUUUUGGACAAAUGGAAGUCAAGUAUUUUGGAACGGAGGGAGUACACA